CGAGUACCCUAAGAAAACGUUCUAGGGAAAUUCCAAUAGGACAGAGAGUUUGGUCACGAGCAGACGCUUCCCCGAGCAGCCGGGGUGGGGAGAGGUCCAUGGUUUGGUGUGGAGAUUACUGAUGAAGAGUUUGAGGUCUGAGUUGCUGCUUCACAGAAUCCUCCCUGAUGAAGACGAAAAUGUCGGAUACAUGCUGUUCACGGCCAUGUUUGAUUCUCGGGUAACACCGUAUCUUUAAUGCUUCACUGCCGGAGGGAACUCAGACUGGCUUAGAGCUCAGAGGAAGAAAGGCCUGAAAGGCCUUCUUCAUAUUCCGCACCCAGAGCCGGCAGACACGGUGUAAGACGUGUGUC